rnacentral:rRNA from 1 species
AUUGAACGCUGGCGGCAGGCCUAACACAUGCAAGUCGAGCGGAGCGGCGGACGGGUGAGUAAUGCCUAGGAAUCUGCCUGGUAGUGGGGGAUAACGUCCGGAAACGGGCGCUAAUACCGCAUACUAUCAGAUGAGCCUAGGUCGGAUUAGCUAGUUGGUGGGGUAAUGGCCUACAAAGGCGACGAUCCUUAACUGGUCUGAGAGGAUGAUCAGUCACACGGGAACUGAGACCCGGUCCAGACGCCUACGGGAGGCACAAGUGGGGAAUAUUGGACAAGGGGCGAAAGCCUGAUCCAGCCAUGCCCGGGGUGUGAAGAAGGUCUUCGGAUUGUAAAGCACUUUAAGUGGGGAGGCGGUACCAACAGAAUAAGCACCGGCUAACUUCGUGCCAGCAGCCGCGGUAAUAC